GACGAACGCUGGCGGCGUGCUUAACACAUGCAAGUCGAACGGAAAGGCCCUGCUUUUGUGGGGUGCUCGAGUGGCGAACGGGUGAGUAACACGUGAGUAACCUGCCCUUGACUUUGGGAUAACUUCAGGAAACUGGGGCUAAUACCGGAUAGGAGCUCCUGCUGCAUGGUGGGGGUUGGAAAGUUUCGGCGGUUGGGGAUGGACUCGCGGCUUAUCAGCUUGUUGGUGGGGUAGUGGCUUACCAAGGCUUUGACGGGUAGCCGGCCUGAGAGGGUGACCGGCCACAUUGGGACUGAGAUACGGCCCAGACUCCUACGGGAGGCAGCAGUGGGGAAUAUUGCACAAUGGGCGGAAGCCUGAUGCAGCAACGCCGCGUGCGGGAUGACGGCCUUCGGGUUGUAAACCGCUUUCGCUUGUGACGAAGCGUGAGUGACGGUAAUGGGUAAAGAAACACCGGCUAACUACGU
rnacentral:rRNA from 1 species